rnacentral:rRNA from 1 species
GUGUCAGCCGCCGCGGUAAUACGUAGGUGGCAAGCGUUGUCCGGAUUUACUGGGCGUAAAGGAUGCGUAGGCGGAUUUUUAAGUGAGAUGUGAAAACCCUGAGCUUAACUUGGGGACUGCAUUUCAUACUGGAAGUCUAGAGUGCGGGAGAGGAAAGUGGAAUUCCUAGUGUAGCGGUGAAAUGCGUAGAGAUUAGGAAGAACACCAGUGGCGAAGGCGACUUUCUGGACCGUAACUGACGCUGAGGCAUGAAAGCGUGGGUAGCAAACAGGAUUAGAUACCCUGGUAGUCCACGCCGUAAACGAUGAGUACUAGGUGUAGGAGGUAUCGACCCCUUCUGUGCCGCAGUUAACACAAUAAGUACUCCGCCUGGGAAGUACGAUCGCAAGAUUAAA